AGAGUUUGAUCAUGGCUCAGAUUGAACGCUGGCGGCAUGCCUAACACAUGCAAGUCGAACGGCAGCACAGCAGUAGCAAUACUGUGGGUGGCGAGUGGCGGACGGGUGAGGAAUACAUCGGGACCUGCCCAGACGUGGGGGAUAACGUAGGGAAACUUACGCUAAUACCGCAUACGUCCUACGGGAGAAAGCGGGGGAUCAGCAAUGACCUCGCGCGGUUGGAUGGACCGAUGUUCGAUUAGCUUGUUGGUGGGGUAAUGGCCUACCAAGGCGACGAUCGAUAGCUGGUCUGAGAGGAUGAUCAGCCACACUGGGACUGAGACACGGCCCAGACUCCUACGGGAGGCAGCAGUGGGGAAUAUUGGACAAUGGGCGCAAGCCUGAUCCAGCAAUGCCGCGUGUGUGAAGAAGGCCUUCGGGUUGUAAAGCACUUUUAUCAGGAGCGAAAUACCACGGGUUAAUACCCUAUGGGGCUGACGGUACCUGAGGAAUAAGCACCGGCUAACUUCGUGCCAGCAGCCGCGGUAAUACGAAGGGUGCAAGCGUUAAUCGGAAUUACUGGGCGUAAAGCGUGCGUAGGUGGUUUUUUAAGUCUGCUGUGAAAUCCCCGGGCUCAACCUGGGAAUGGCAGUGGAUACUGGAAAGCUAGAGUGUGAGAGAGGAUGGUGGAAUUCCCGGUGUAGCGGUGAAAUGCGUAGAGAUCGGGAGGAACAUCAGUGGCGAAGGCGGCCAUCUGGCUCAACACUGACACUGAGGCACGAAAGCGUGGGGAGCAAACAGGAUUAGAUACCCUAGUAGUCC
rnacentral:rRNA from 1 species